rnacentral:lncRNA from 1 species
GAACCCCCUGGGUUUUCACCGGAUGCCGGAGUUCUCAUCCUGUCGAUUGCUAGCCCAGCUCGGGGCUGAGCUCUGAGAGAUUACGGAGCCCCGCCUGGGAAGGCGCUGGGAGAGCCCAGGACCUUAUCUGUAAAAGCCUCCCAGGGAGACAGAAGCCUCCGUCUAGGGGAGUGCUCAGCAGUGUCAGGAUCUCAGGAGCCCCGAGUCAGGCCGCCUUCCACUGCAGCUGGAAAUGACAGUCUUAUCUUCAAAGACGGUGGAGUGGGGAGAUAAUCCACUUUCAGUCAGGGUUUAUAAAGCAAGCCUUGCCUCUUCUUCAUCUUAAAAUAGCUUGAACGAAGGCCUGUUAGCCAAUGACUGGGAAACCGCUGUUUAAAUAAUU